rnacentral:rRNA from 1 species
UACAGAGGGUGCUAGCGUUGUUCGGAAUUACUGGGCGUAAAGGGCUCGUAGGCGGCCAACUAAGUCAGACGUGAAAUCCCCAGGCUCAACCUGGGAACUGCGUCUGAUACUGGAUGGCUUGAAUCCGGGAGAGGGAUGCAGAAUUCCAGGUGUAGCGGUGAAAUGCGUAGAUAUCUGGAGGAAUACCGGUGGCGAAGGCGGCAUCCUGGACCGGCAUUGACGCUGAGGAGCGAAAGCCAGGGGAGCAAACGGG